rnacentral:rRNA from 1 species
UACGUAGGGUGCGAGCGUUGUCCGGAAUUAUUGGGCGUAAAGGGCUCGUAGGCGGUUUGUCGCGUCGGGAGUGAAAACACUGGGCUUAACUCAGUGCCUGCUUCCGAUACGGGCAGACUAGAGGUAUGCAGGGGAGAACGGAAUUCCUGGUGUAGCGGUGAAAUGCGCAGAUAUCAGGAGGAACACCGGUGGCGAAGGCGGUUCUCUGGGCAUUACCUGACGCUGAGGAGCGAAAGUGUGGGGAGCGAACAGGAUUAGAUACCCUGGUAGUCCACACCGUAAACGUUGGGCGCUAGGUGUGGGGUCCAUUCCACGGAUUCCGUGCCGCAGCUAACGCAUUAAGCGCCCCGCCUGGGGAGUACGGCCGCAAGGCUAAA